UACAGAGGGUGCGAGCGUUAAUCGGAAUUACUGGGCGUAAAGCGCGCGUAGGCGGCUUUGCAAGUCGAGUGUGAAAUCCCCAGGCUUAACCUGGGAACUGCAUUCGAGACUGCAUAGCUAGAGUAUGGGAGAGGGAAGUGGAAUUUCAGGUGUAGCGGUGAAAUGCGUAGAUAUCUGAAGGAACAUCAGUGGCGAAAGCGACUUCCUGGACCAAUACUGACGCCCAUGUGCGGAAGCGUGGGGAGCAAACAGG
rnacentral:rRNA from 1 species